rnacentral:rRNA from 1 species
UACGGAGGGGGCUAGCGUUGUUCGGAAUUAUUGGGCGUAAAGAGCUCGUAGGCGGCUUGUCACGUCGGGUGUGAAAGCCCGGGGCUUAACCCCGGGUCUGCAUUCGAUACGGGCUAGCUAGAGUGUGGUAGGGGAGAUCGGAAUUCCUGGUGUAGCGGUGAAAUGCGCAGAUAUCAGGAGGAACACCGGUGGCGAAGGCGGAUCUCUGGGCCAUUACUGACGCUGAGGAGCGAAAGCGUGGGGAGCGAACAGG